CCUACGGGUGGCAGCAGUGGGGAAUAUUGCACAAUGGGCGCAAGCCUGAUGCAGCCAUGCCGCGUGUGUGAAGAAGGCCUUCGGGUUGUAAAGCACUUUCAGCGGGGAGGAAGGCGGUGAGGUUAAUAACCUCAUCGAUUGACGUUACCCGCAGAAGAAGCACCGGCUAACUCCGUGCCAGCAGCCGCGGUAAUACGGAGGGUGCAAGCGUUAAUCGGAAUUACUGGGCGUAAAGCGCACGCAGGCGGUCUGUCAAGUCGGAUGUGAAGUCCCCGGGCUCAACCUGGGAACUGCAUUCGAAACUGGCAGGCUAGAGUCUUGUAGAGGGGGGUAGAAUUCCAGGUGUAGCGGUGAAAUGCGUAGAGAUCUGGAGGAAUACCGGUGGCGAAGGCGGCCCCCUGGACAAAGACUGACGCUCAGGUGCGAAAGCGUGGGGAGCAAACAGGAUUAGAUACCCGAGUAGUC
rnacentral:rRNA from 1 species